ACAAGUAAAUAAAACUAAACAACAGGUAAAAGUAAAUAAAAAAAUAAAAAAUAAAAAUGUGUUUAUAGUUACAUGGUGACGUCAGCUGUCGUCCUGCUAACGAACGCAGUUAGUCGGGCGGUUAAUGUUACCAUGGUGACCGAGUUUGACUUUCUCUUGUUGCUAGGUUACCAAGAGUUAAAAAAAAUAACAUAAAAACAAGUAAAUUACAUUAAUAAAUAUUUUUUAUCAAUAAAACAUUUGAUUUUUGACUUAGUCUUGUUUAUGUGUCGUCUUAUUUAUAACUUUUUAAUUUCUUCGAUAGAAACGUUCUGCGUCACUUCCGGUUGAAGCUUCCGGUAAUCACGCACAGGUGUGUCGAGGUGUUCUCAGGUGUGUAUAUCAUUGUCUCGAGCAGGUAAGCGGUGCGGACCGCGUGCAGCGUGGCAGCAUGUUGGAAGAAGAAGGAGCCGGGGAAGGAAACAUGAAGUCUAGAUACUCAGAACUCUGUUGACGUCUUCCAGGAGGAUCCCCCGUCGGUGACCGUCUUCCUGCUCAGAAGAUCCUUCCAGCUGCAGCACAGAUCCUACUCUUCAGAGUUCAGAGCGAGGAAACACCUGGAAGAUCAGACACAAGAAACGAAGAUAUCAGGGUUCAAAGUUCAUGUCAGGAUGCAUCUAGCUGCUGGUUGAGUGUGUGAAGAACAAAGACUUAAAGAAGGUGAGUGACAGUUUCAUCUCUCACUGCAGACCUUUGCACCUCAUUUCUACAUACUCACAUGUGU